AUUGAACGCUGGCGGCAGGCUUAACACAUGCAAGUCGAGCGGGGUGAUGGUGCUUGCACUAUCACUUAGCGGCGGACGGGUGAGUAAUGCUUAGGAAUCUGCCUAUUAGUGGGGGACAACAUCUCGAAAGGGAUGCUAAUACCGCAUACGUCCUACGGGAGAAAGCAGGGGAUCACUUGUGACCUUGCGCUAAUAGAUGAGCCUAAGUCGGAUUAGCUAGUUGGUGGGGUAAAGGCCUACCAAGGCGACGAUCUGUAGCGGGGCUGAGAGGAGGAUCCGCCACACUGGGACUGGGACACGGCCCAGGAUCCUACGGGAGGUAGCAGUGGGGAAUAUUGGAAAAUGGGGGGAACCCUGAUACAGCCAUGCCGCGUGUGUGAAGAAGGCCUUAUGGUUGUAAAGCACUUUAAGCGAGGAGGAGGCUCUUUUGGUUAAUACCCAAGAUGAGUGGACGUUACUCGCAGAAUAAGCACCGGCUAACUCUGUGCCAGCAGCCGCCGUAA
rnacentral:rRNA from 1 species